AACGAGGCCGACCUGCGGCUGAGUUACCUGCGGAAGGAUCAUUACAGAGUUGCAAAACUCCCUAAACCAUUGUGAACGUUACCUAAACCGUUGCUUCGGCGGGCGGCCCGGGUCCUUCCCGGCGCCCCUCGGCCCUCGCGGGCGCCCGCCGGAGGUAAACCAAACUAUUGCAUUGUAUGGCCUCUCUGAGUCUUCUGUACUGAAUAAGUCAAAACUUUUAACAACGGAUCUCAGAUCGGA
rnacentral:misc_RNA from 1 species